AGAGUUUGAUCCUGGCUCAGAACGAACGCUGGCGGCGUGCUUAACACAUGCAAGUCGAGUGCGCGCCUGUAGCAAUACAGGUGGCGCACGGCGCACGGGUGCGUAACACGUGGGCAACCUGCCCUCUGAUGGGGAAUAACCCGCCGAAAGGCGGGCUAAUACCGCAUAAAAUUCCUUGGACUCAUGUUCGAGGACUCAAAGGCGUAAGUCGUCGGAGGAGGAGCCCGCGCACGAUUAGCUAGUUGGUAGGGUAAUGGCCUACCAAGGCUUUGAUCGUUAGCUGGUCUGAGAGGAUGGCCAGCCACACUGGAACUGAGACACGGUCCAGACUCCUACGGGAGGCAGCAGUGGGGAAUCUUGCACAAUGGGCGAAAGCCUGAUGCAGCGACGCCGCGUGGGGGAUGAAGCAUUUCGGUGUGUAAACCCCUUUCGAUCCGGACGAAUACCUCGCAAGAGGGGUGACGGUACGGAUAUAAGAAGCCCCGGCUAACUACGUGCCAGCAGCCGCGGUAAGACGUAGGGGGCCAGCGUUGUUCGGAAUUACUGGGUGUAAAGGGUUCGUAGGCGGUGUGGCAAGUUGGGAGUGAAAUCUCUGGGCUCAACCCAGAGGCUGCUUCCAAAACUGCUGUGCUUGAGUGUGAGAGAGGCUCGUGGAAUUGCAGGUGUAGCGGUGAAAUGCGUAGAUAUCUGCAGGAACACCCGUGGCGAAAGCGGCGAGCUGGAUCACUACUGACGCUGAGGAACGAAAGCUAGGGGAGCAAACAGGAUUAGAUACCCCAGUAGUCC
rnacentral:rRNA from 1 species